rnacentral:rRNA from 1 species
AUGCAAGUCGAACGAACUUCCGUUAAUUGAUUAUGACGUACUUGUACUGAUUGAGAUUUUAACACGAAGUGAGUGGCGAACGGGUGAGUAACACGUGGGUAACCUGCCCAGAAGUAGGGGAUAACACCUGGAAACAGAUGCUAAUACCGUAUAACAGAGAAAACCGCAUGGUUUUCUUUUAAAAGAUGGCUCUGCUAUCACUUCUGGAUGGACCCGCGGCGUAUUAGCUAGUUGGUGAGGUAAAGGCUCACCAAGGCAGUGAUACGUAGCCGACCUGAGAGGGUAAUCGGCCACU